rnacentral:rRNA from 1 species
GAUGAACGCUGGCGGCGUGCCUAAUACAUGCAAGUCGAGCGAACAGACGAUGAGCUUUCUCCUCUGACGUUAGCGGCUGACGGGUGAGUAACACGUGGAUAACCUACCUAUAAGACUGGGAUAACUUCGGGAAACCGGAGCUACUACCGGAUAAUAUAUUGAACCGCAUGGUUCAAUAGUUAAAGACGGUUUUGCUGUCACUUAUAGAUGGAUCCGCGCCGCAUUAGCUAGUUGGUAAGGUAACGGCUUACCAAGGCAACGAUGCGUAGCCGACCUGAGGGGGUGAUCGGCCACACUGGAACUGAGACACGGUCCAGACUCCUACGGGAGGCAGCAGUAGGGAAUAUUCGACAAUGGGCGAAAGCCUGACGGAGCAACGCCGCGUGAGUGAUGAAGGUCUUCGGAUCGUAAAACUCUGUUAUUAGGGAAGAAAAAAUGUGGAAGUAACUAUGCACGUCUUGACGGUACCUAAACAGAAAGCCACGGCUAACUACGUG